CAAAAAUAUACCUGAAUGAUGAGCAGCUGAAGAAGUUUUGCCAGUACUGAAACUGAGUUAUCUCUGCCUUGAAUAAUUUUUAAUGUUUGACUCUGCAGAGAUGCAGACAUGGAAUGAAAGGACUGGAUUCCUCAGUCUCCUAAAUUGGACCGGCUGUUGAAUUGUCUCUUUUCCUGUAAAUGGAAUCCUGUAAAUCUUCGGCCAGAAAUGUCUCUUCUAUACUGUAUCCUACGGAUUGUUGCUGAACAUUUCAAGCCAUGCCUGCAAACCUGGUGCCUCCCCUCAGAACUGACAGCGGUUGAAAAGUCCAGGUGUACCUGGACAGAACUACGUGUUCCAAAGAAGAUGAGCUUUGUCAGAGGGGCUGUUCUGGCUAUGAGGAUCACUGUACCUCUCAAAUACAUCCAGUGUCAUGUACUUCUAUGAAUUCUUCACCUGGAGCAAGGACCAUGGGAGGCUGUGUGGGAAUUUACACUUAUCCAGCUGUCUAGUGAUGUCAGUGCACUCAUUUUUCUCUGUAAGGUUUUAUGGGGCUUGGCAGAUCUCUACUCAAAGUGGAAACUACAUGGCAUAGGAGCCACAAAAUAGAGGAGUAUACAACAGGAGACAAAGAGAUGAGAAAACUGCUUUUAAUCUUUUCAUGCUAAGGUAAAUUACCAGCUGAACCAAACACUCAUUUGAUCUACUUUAGUUCUUGUAAUGCUGUAUGAAAUGGGUGAGCUGGGUGAAUGCAAACUCCUCGCUAAAGAUAGCACAGAGGCACAAUUGCCACUGCUGGCAGAAAGGCAGAGGAUUCGAACUUUAACAGAGGAACACGCUUGAAUUUGGAUUUUAAAAUGGGCUAGGAUCUGUCAGAAGAACUUGUCUCCCUUCUCUUUAGAAAUCCUCAGAAGUAUUACUUGUCUUCCAUCUCUUCAUAAAUCCUCAGAAUUAGGUCUCUUGAAUGUAUAAACUUCGGAAUUUUGUCAUUGGGGUGUCCUGGUUUCAGUUAGAACAGAAUUAAUUUUCUUCCUAGUAGCUGAUGGAAUGCUGUGUUUUGGCUUAGGAUGAGAAGAGUGCUGAUAACACCCCGAUGUUUUAAUUGUUGCAGAGCAGUGCUUAUACCAAGCCAAGGACAUCUCAGCCUUUUGCUCUGUCCUGCCAACGGGCAGGCUGGGGGUGCAGUAAGAGCUUGGAGGGGACAGACCCAGGACAGGUGACCCAAACUAGCCAAAGGGGUAUUCCAUACCAUCUGACAUCAUGCUAAACAAUAUAUAGGGGUGGCUAGCCGGGGGGAGGGGGCCGGACUGCUCGGAGUUAGGCUGGGCAUCGGUCAGCGGGUGGUGAGCAAUUGCAUUGUGCAUCACUUGUUUGUACAUAUUAGUAGUAGUAGUACUAUUAUCAUUGUAUUAUUAUUAUUAUUAUUGUUAUUGUUAUUAUUAUUUUU
rnacentral:lncRNA from 1 species